GUCAUCAUGCUUCCUGUACAGCCUGCAGAACCGUGAGCCAAUUAAACCUCUUUUCUUUCUAAAUUACCUAGGCUCAGCUAUUUCUUUAUCGUAGUGCAAGAAUGGAUUCAUACACUCUUUAAGUGUGAUAAACAAAACAAAUUACAAUCCUUAUUUCAGCUUUCUGUUUACCUUUUGCCUUUCUCUCAUUUAAACUGCCAACAUUCAAGGAAAGGAGAAGAGUUAAAACUUAUUUGAGUAAAUAUGAAGAUAUUCUAUGCCUUAUAUUUUAAAAAUGUAUUGCAUUUGGCAAUUCUUAUAACACACUGAACAGGUCAUUUUCCUAUUGUAUAAGAAAGGAAGCUAAGGCACAAAGCAAAUAUCUUAUUUUCCAGAAUCCUACAAUUUUGAAGUGUCAUUCCAUUCAGCCACACCAGGUCCAUUGCUAAAUUGAUUUAUUCUUGCUGUAUAGAGUUGGCAUCCCAUGGGUUACCCAGAUAGUAGUUCAUUCCUAAAUGGAACACAAUAAAUCUGGAACCUAAAUAAAGUGCUUUAUUGCCCUCUGUUUUGAAAAUCUAUAGUUAUUGUGCUGAGCGAGAGAAGAAAUGAUUAUCUUUAUGUGUUCAGAGAUUAAGACUAAUUUUGAUGGUGUUAAGAGUCAAAAACUAUGGAAGUUUUCAAUGGUAAUGCUUUUAAAGGAAGUAGCUCGCGAGACUUGCAGGGGUUGGAGUGGGCCGGGGGGCCGGCCGAGAGGAAAAUUGGAGGCUCAAGUGGGGUACAUGUCGGAGUUGGAGCUCGGCUGGAAGUGGGGCCGUGCCUGGCAGAUGCGGUCGUGAAGAUAGGUACUGGUUUUGGAUUUGGAAUUGUUUUCUCACCUUUAAAAGAAGAAUGUGGCGAUUAGCCUUCAGUUCUAGCAUGGGAUUAGGAAUGGCUUACUCCAACUGUCAGCAUGAUUUCCAGGCUCCAUAUCUUCUAUACGGAAAAUAUGUCAAAGAACAGGAACAGUGAUUUCACCUGAGAACAUCCCAGUGGGAGGACAAGAGAAAUCAUGUUUAUUCUUCAGGAAUAUUGAAGUCCCCUGGAGUAAGCUGCCAUUCUUCUGUAACAAUGUUAUCAGUAAUGCUUUAAACUCCAGCACCUGGUUAUGUAUUUGAAACCAAGUCUGUUUCUCGUUUUGUAUUUUCUCUCUGGAAAUUG